rnacentral:rRNA from 1 species
ACUCCUACGGGAGGCAGCAGUGGGGAAUAUUGCGCAAUGGGGGCAACCCUGACCCAGCCAUGCCCGCGUGUGUGAAGAAGGCCUUAGGGUUGUAAAGCACUUUCAAUUGGGAAGAAGAGCUUAACGUUAAUAGCGUUGAGCCUUGACAGUACCUUUAGAAGAAGCACCGGGCUAACUCC